rnacentral:rRNA from 1 species
AGCGGCAGGCCUAACACAUGCAAGUCGAGGGGUAACAUUGGUGCUUGCACCAGAUGACGACCGGCGCACGGGUGCGUAACGCGUAUACAAUCUACCUUUUGCUAAGGGAUAGCCCAGAGAAAUUUGGAUUAAUACCUUAUAGUAUGCAGACUUCUCAUGGAGAUUGCAUUAAAGAUUACGGCAAAAGAUGAGUAUGCGUCCUAUUAGUUUGUUGGUGUGGUAACGGCACACCAAGACUACGAUAGGUAGGGGCCCUGAGAGGGGGAUCCCCCACACUGGUACUGAGACACGGACCAGACUCCUACGGGAGGCAGCAGUGAGGAAUAUUGGACAAUGGAGGCAACUCUGAUCCAGCCAUGCCGCGUGCAGGAAGACUGCCCUAUGGGUUGUAAACUGCUUUUAUACAGGAAGAAACACUCCCUCGUGAGGGAGCUUGACGGUACUGUAAGAAUAAGGAUCGGCUAACUCCGUGCCAGCAGCCGCGGUAAUACGGAGGAUCCAAGCGUUAUCCGGAAUCAUUGGGUUUAAAGGGUCCGUAGGUGGAUAAUUAAGUCAGAGGUGAAAGUUUGCAGCUCAACUGUAAAAUUGCCUUUGAUACUGGUUAUCUUGAGUUAUUGUGAAGUAGUUAGAAUAUGUAGUGUAGCGGUGAAAUGCAUAGAUAUUACAUAGAAUACCAAUUGCGAAGGCAGAUUACUAACAAUAUACUGACACUGAUGGACGAAAGCGUGGGUAGCGAACAGGAUUAGAUACCCUGGUAGUCCACGCCGUAAACGAUGGAUACUAGCUGUUGGGCUUCGGCUCAGUGGCUAAGCGAAAGUGAUAA